CCUUCGUACUAUCUACGAGUUACUUUCUACCUCUACUAUCCUACUCUCUCCUGUGUGCUGUCUUAUAUUUAAUUUUAUUCUCUCUACCACCAUGACUAUCAUCCUCUUUCCUUCCUCGUACUACCUACUAUCGUAGGGACCUCUCUACUAUCCCAUUCUUUCCACCUUUGUACUAUCUACCAUCUACUAUCAGUAUCUACCUCUACUAUCCUCUUCCCUGUCUUGUACUAUCUACUAUCUUAUUGUUUCUCCUAACCUACUCUCCCCUGACUUGUACUGUCUGCUAUUUCAUUUUCUUUUCUCUACUAUCAUACUCUUUCCUUCCUUCUGCUACCUACUAUCUUAAUGUCCUCUCUACUAUCCCAUUCUCUCCACCUUUGUACUAUCUACCAUCUACUAUCUACCUCUACUUUCCUGCCUUGUACUAUCUAAUAUCUUAAUGCUGUCUCUGAUAUCCUUCUCUUCCUGUUUUGUACGAUGUACUGUCUUACUGUUCUACUCUCUACUAUCCUAGUCUCUCCAGUGUUGUAUUUUGAACCAUCUAUAUGUUUCCCCUACUAUCCUACUCUUUCCUGUCUUGUACUAGCUAUUAUCUUAAUGUUCCCUCUACUAAACUACAGUUUCCUGUCUUGUACUAUCUAAUAUCUUAAUGUUCCCUCUACUAAACAACAGUUUCCUGACUUGUAUUAUCUCUUAUCUUAAUGUUGUCUCUACUAUCCUACUCUUUCCUGUUUUUUUCACUGUGAAUUAUCUAAAUAUUCACUCUACUAUCAAGUAAUGAAAAAUAUACAGUGGAAACAUGUCACUGUACAGUUUUGUAAGUGUAUGUGAGGUGUGGAAAGGGGCGGCUGUGAGGGGAGGUUCGAGGCCGUUUAUUUAGUAUGUAACUGAAAAACAUGUGUUUGUUUCUAACUUAUGUCUACAAUGGUUUCAUAAUAAAAUAUCACUUUGCAGUCUUA